UACGAAGGGGGCUAGCGUUGCUCGGAAUCACUGGGCGUAAAGGGCGCGUAGGCGGCCAUUCAAGUCGGGGGUGAAAGCCUGUGGCUCAACCACAGAAUUGCCUUCGAUACUGUUUGGCUUGAGUUUGGUAGAGGUUGGUGGAACUGCGAGUGUAGAGGUGAAAUUCGUAGAUAUUCGCAAGAACACCAGUGGCGAAGGCGGCGAGCUGGUCCAUUACUGACGCUGAGGCGCGACAGCGUGGGGAGCAAACAGG
rnacentral:rRNA from 1 species